UUUUUAUACGACCGCAAAAAAAUUUUUGUGGUCGUAUAUUGGUAUGACGUUGUCGUCGUCGUCGUCGUCGUCGUCGUCGUCGUCGUCUGGCGUCGUCGUCCGAAUACACAUUAGUUUUCGCACUCUAACUUUAGUUUAAGUGAAUGGAUCUCAAUGAAAUUUUACCAUAAGGUUCAAUACCACAAAAGGAAGGUGGAGAUUGAUUUUGGGGGUUAUGGUACCAACAGUAAAGGAAAAAGGGGCCAAAAAUAAGCAUUUUUGUAACUUCCAGACAUAACUUGUGUGUUAGUGUAUGGAUCUCUCUUACAUUGUACCACAAGGUUCCAUAUCACAAAGGGAAUGCUGGGAUUGAUUUUGGGGGUAAUUGCCUCCAAAUUUUAGGAAUUAUGGGCCAAAAAGGGGCAAAAAACAAGCAUUUUUCUAGUUUCAUGACAAUAACUUGUGUGUAAGUGUAUGGAUCUCUCUGACAUUGUACCACAAGGUUCCAUAUCACAAAGGGAAUGCUAGGAUUGAUUUUGGGGGUAAUUGCCUCCAAAUUUUAGGAAUUAGGGGCAAAAAAGGGGCAAAAAACAAGCUUUUUUCUAGUUUCAUGACAAUAACUUGUGUGUAAGUGUAUGGAUCUCUCUGACAUUGUACCACAAGGUUCCAUAUCACAAAGGGAAUGCUAGGAUUGAUUUUGGGGGUAAUUGCCUCCAAAUUUUAGGAAUUAGGGGCAAAAAAGGGGCAAAAAACAAGCUUUUUUCUAGUUUCAUGACAAUAACUUGUGUGUAAGUGUAUGGAUCUCUCUGACAUUGUACCACAAGGUUCCAUAUCACAAAGGAAAUGCUGGGAUUGAUUUUGGGGGUAAUUGCCUCCAAAUUGUAGGAAUUAGGGGCCAAAAAGGGCAAAAAAACAAGCAUUUUUUCUAGUUUCAUGACAAUAACUUGUGUGUAAGUGUAUGGAUCUUUAUGAAAUUGUACUACAAGGUUCCAUAUUACAAAGGGAAAGCUGGAAUUGAGUUUUGGGGUAAUUGCCCAAAAUGUUUAGGAAUAAGGGGCCAAAAAUAAGCAUUUUUCUAGUUUCCAGACAAUAACUUGUGUUCAAGUGUAUGGAUCUCUCUGAAAUUGUACUGCAAGGUACCAUACCACAAAGGGAAGGCUGGGAUUGAUUUUGAUGGUAAUUCCUUCAAAAUUUUAGGAAUUAGGGGCCAUAAAAGGGCAAAAAAAUAAGCAUUUUUCUAGUUUCAGGACAAUAACUUGUGUGUAGUGUAUGGAUCUUUAUGAAAUUGUACUGCAAGGUUCCAUAUCACAAAGGGAAAGCUGGGUUUGAGUUUGGGGGUAAUUGCCCUAAACGUUUAGGAAUUUGGGGUCAAAAAGGGGCCAAAAAACAAGCAUUUUUCUAGUUUCCAGACAAUAACUUGUGUUCAAGUGUAUGGAUCUCUCUGACAUUGUACCACAAGGUUCCAUAUCACAAAGGGAAUGCUGGGAUUGAUUUUGGGGGUAAUUGCCUCCAAAUUUUAGGAAUUAGGGGCAAAAAAGGGGCAAAAAACAAGCAUUUUUCUAGUUUCAUGACAAUAACUUGUGUGUAAGUGUAUGGAUCUCUCUGACAUUGUACCACAAGGUUCCAUAUCACAAAGGGAAUGCUAGGAUUGAUUUUGGGGGUAAUUGCCUCCAAAUUUUAGGAAUUAGGGGCAAAAAAGGGGCAAAAAACAAGCUUUUUUUCUAGUUUCAUGACAAUAACUUGUGUGUAAGUGUAUGGAUCUCUCUGACAUUGUACCACAAGGUUCCAUAUCACAAAGGAAAUGCUGGGAUUGAUUUUGGGGGUAAUUGCCUCCAAAUUGUAGGAAUUAGGGGCCAAAAAGGGCCAAAAAACAAGCAUUUUUUCUAGUUUCAUGACAAUAACUUGUGUGUAAGUGUAUGGAUCUUUAUGAAAUUGUACUACAAGGUUCCAUAUUACAAAGGGAAAGCUGGAAUUGAGUUUUGGGGUAAUUGCCCAAAAUGUUUAGGAAUAAGGGGCCAAAAAGGGGCCAAAAAUAAGCAUUUUUCUAGUUUCCAGACAAUAACUUGUGUUCAAGUGUAUGGAUCUCUCUGAAAUUGUACUGCAAGGUACCAUACCACAAAGGGAAGGCUGGGAUUGAUUUUGAUGGUAAUUCCUUCAAAAUUUUAGGAAUUAGGGGCCAUAAAAGGGCAAAAAAAUAAGCAUUUUUCUAGUUUCAGGACAAUAACUUGUGUGUAGUGUAUGGAUCUUUAUGAAAUUGUACUGCAAGGUUCCAUAUCACAAAGGGAAAGCUGGGUUUGAGUUUGGGGGUAAUUGCCCUAAACGUUUAGGAAUUUGGGGUCAAAAAGGGGCCAAAAAACAAGCAUUUUUCUAGUUUCCAGACAAUAACUUGUGUUCAAGUGUAUGGAUCUCUCUGAAAUUGUACUGCAAGGUACCAUACCACAAAGGGAAGGCUGGGAUUGAGUUUGGGGGUGAUGAAUCAUAAGGGGGUUCAAAAA